AUGCAACAAGGUCAACCACUUGCUUAUGUUAGUAAAGCUUCGGGCCCUAGGAGUAGGGCUUUGUCAGUAUAUGAAAAGGAGUAUAUGGCUAUUUUACUCGUAAUGGAGCAGUGGAGAGCUUACUUACAUGUUCAUAAGUUUGUCAUCAAAACUGACCAGAAGAGUUUGGCUCAUUUUCAAGAUCAAAUGCUCCACACUCCUUGGAAAUAGAAAGCACUCACUAAAUAGUUGGGUUUUAAUUAUGAGAUUGUCUAUUAGAAGGGAUCUGAUAAUACAACUGAUGAUACCUUGCCUAGAAGACCUCAUGAUCAUUCUAAAGUGUUGUCCAUCUCACAUCCCACCUGGCUUGUUGAAAUUGCUGACAACUAUAAGUUGGAUGACAAGUCCACUGAGUUGUUGCAACAGUUCACAGUGGACCCAAAUUCUAAAGUAAUUUUUCAGUUAAGAAAUGGGCUAAUCUGA
rnacentral:rRNA from 1 species